CUGUUUUAAAAACCCAGUCAGUUGGUUCUCCUGGGGGAACCCUUUUGCUUCCCCCCAACAUGGACAGACACUUUGUUCAUGCAUACCUCACUUAGUUUAGCAUACCUCUCACUUUGUCCUGUUUCAUAGAUGAGGCUGGAGACUGACCACAGAGCCGAGAGUGUGAGAGGCUCCCAGCAUCAGAGACCGCAGAAUGUCAGACUCACGCUGCUCUACAAGCAGCCGCAGGACAAGAUGGCCUGUCCAGGCGUCACAACCCCCCCACCAUUAGACCCCACCCCCCACAGCCAUGUCUAGCUUACCUCUAAUUUGAGGCCUCCUUCUUUGAUCAUGGUGUGUUCCCAUCAAGGCUCUCUCAACCAACCUGAUGGUCUAAUGGGUUUUCCACCUCCCUGCGUUGUGAGUGGACGACCACUGACUCCUGCUUUGAUUCAUUCUUGUGAGACCUUCCAAAUGGCAGAAAACAGAUACAGUAGCUUCUUCACAGGGAGAGCCUCUUACAAGCUCCAUCCUGGAUUUAUUUUUAUUUUCCAAUUAUUAUCAAAUAAUUCUGGUCACAGAUCUACAGUUCUUACAUGUUUAGGUGCCAAUAAUGUCUUCCAUGGUUAUUUUCCAUGGGGGAUUUUAUCUAUGGGUUCCUCAAAGCAUUCCUCUAAAUUAUUGAUCUGUUGUACGUGUAUAUUUAUUCAAUGUUAUAUUUCCAAUGAGUCCCUUUCUUGAUCUAUUUUGAUAUUUCAUUGCUGCUUUUGUGUUUUUUUAUUGCAUGUGUUACCACUGGUUUCACACAUUCUGUAACUGUACACUGAGAGUUACCUUAAUUUCCUUUGAGAAUAAUAAACGGAAUGUAAUUUAAAUUAACUUAAUUUAAAUCAUAUGAACAGUAUUUGUACCCAAACAAUGAAACAAUCAAUUGAUUCUAAAGAAACAAUUUGACAUUCGGCAGUUAUGGAGGUCUUAAUCAAUUCUCAUCAAAGGUUAAAACAAUCUUAACACAAAUGUCAGUGUUCUUCUGUAUGAGAUUACCUGCCAUUAGUGAGUGUUUCAUGAUGGUUCCUGCAGGGUAAAUUACACUGAAGAGCGAGAAUUACAUUAGCAGCUAAUAUAAAAGGUCAUGGCCACAU